CCAAUGUUAAAAGUUUCCUUGUCCUCAAGGAAGGAAAGAAGGAAAUCGCACCAUGAGAGAGUGAUACUCUUCCCAAGUGGUCUGCUCUGGAGGUAGUUGAUCCCAUUGUAUGAGGACUUGAGUGACAGCCUUGUUCCUUUUUGAACCAAACGUUAAUCAAGGAUUUUGUGGGGGCUUGGACAGUAUGAGACAGGAGGGUGAGAGAUAUGGGAGGGUAAGUUAUGGCAUAAUUUGAGUUGGAAAACAUGUAAGGUGAGGUGGAUGAGCAGCUGGGUUGGGAGGUAAAGCUUUUAUGCUACAGAACCAAUUUUUGUAAGACUAGGUAUGGGACAUAAUAUUUAGCUGAUAAUGUUACUUGCCUGUAGGGUUGGAUUUUAUGGUACACCCAGUCUCCCACUUAGAACUGCC
rnacentral:lncRNA from 1 species